rnacentral:tRNA from 1 species
UCCCUGGUGGUCCAGUGGCUCAAAGACCCCACACUCCCAAUGCAGGGGGCCUGGGUUCAAUCCCUGGUCAGGGAA